rnacentral:rRNA from 1 species
AUUGAACGCUGGCGGCAGGCCUAACACAUGCAAGUCGAGCGAGCGGCGGACGGGUGAGUAAUGUAUUGGGACUGCCUGAUAGAGGGGAAUCACUACUGGAAACGGUGGCUAAUACCGCAUACUAGCGGAUAACCCAUAUGGGAUUAGCUAAUAGGUGGGUUAAUGGCUCACCUAGGCGACGAUCUAUAGCUGGUCUGUGAGGAUGAUCAGCGACCCUGGAGCUGAGACACGGCCCAGACUCCUACGGAGGCAGCAGUGGGGAAUAUUCCACAAUCGGCGCAAGCCUGAUGCAGCCAUGCCGCGUGCAUGAAGAAGGCCUUAGGGUUGUAAAGUACUUUCAGCGUGUAGGCGUUACCCGCAGAAGAAGCACCGGCUAACUCCGUGCCAGCAGCCGCGGUAAUAC